GGAGGAUCUGUUCUGCAGCAAAAAUCUCAGAUGUUGUUAUGGUAAAUCUCUAUGGAGAUAAAGAGACCUGACUGGAGCUGUAGUAAGGAAUGGACUACAAUAGUCAGCCCUAAGAUCUAAGCUGCCUCUUCAAAAUCCAUCUCCUGUCCAGUAUGAUGAUGAAUAUCUUCAGUUCCAGAUAAUUGGAAGAAUGAGGCAAGAGAAUCACAGGUUUGAGGCCAGCUUAGUGUGAUCUUAUCUCAAAAUAAAAUGUUAAAAGGAUUGAAAUUAUAGCUCAGUGGUAGCAUGUGCAAGGCCUGAGUUUCAAUCCUCAGUAUUGGGG
rnacentral:lncRNA from 1 species